rnacentral:tRNA from 1 species
GGGCAUUUAGCUCAGUUGGUUAGAGCGCUACAUUCACAUUGUAGAGGCCAGAGGUCCGAGUCCUCUAAUGCCCACCA